GGGCCUGUGGGGUAGUUUGGUCAAUCCUUCGGCGUUCGGGACGCCGUGACCUGAGUUCAAAUCUCAGCAGGCCCA
rnacentral:tRNA from 1 species